rnacentral:tRNA from 1 species
GCCGUGAUGGCUCAGUGGUAAAGAGCACAGACUGCUCUUCUGAAGGUCCUGAGUUCAAAUUCCGGCAACCACA